rnacentral:rRNA from 1 species
AAAAUGGAGAGAAAGAUCCUGGCUCAGGAUGAACGCUGGCGGCGUGCCUAAUACAUGCAAGUCGAGCGAACGGACGAGAAGCUUGCUUCUCUGAUGUUAGCGGCGGACGGGUGAGUAACACGUGGAUAACCUACCUAUAAGACUGGGAUAACUUCGGGAAACCGGAGCUAAUACCGGAUAAUAUUUUGAACCGCAUGGUUCAAAAGUGAAAGACGGUCUUGCUGUCACUUAUAGAUGGAUCCGCGGUGCAUUAGCUAGUUGGUAAGGUAACGGCUUACCAAGGCAACGAUACGUAGCCGACCUGAGAGGGUGAUCGGCCACACUGGAACUGAGACACGGUCCAGACUCCUACGGGAGGCAGCAGUAGGGAAUCUUCCGCAAUGGGCGAUUGCCUGACGGAGCAACGCCGCGUGAGUGAUGAAGGUCAACGGAUCGUAAAACUCUGUUAUUAGGGAAGAACAUAUGUGUAAGUAACUGUGCACAUCUUGACGGUACCUAAUCAGAAAGCCACGGCUAACUACGUGCCAGCAGCCGCGGUAAUACGUAGGUGGCUUGCGUUAUCCGGAAUUAUUGGGCGUAAAGCGCGCGUAGGCGGUAAAUUAAGUCUGAUGUGAAAGCCCACGGCUCAACCGUCCAGGGUCAUUGGAAACUGGAAAACUUGAGUGCAGAAGAGGAAAGUGGAAUUCCAUGUGUAGCGGUGAAAUGCGCAGAGAUAUGGAGGAACACCAGUGGCGAAGGCGACUUUCUGGUCUGUAACUGACGCUGAUGUGCGAAAGCGUGGGGAUCAAACAGGAUUAGAUACCCUGGUAGUCCACGCCGUAAACGAUGAGUGCUAAGUGUUAGGGGGUUUCCGCCCCUUAGUGCUGCAGCUAACGCAUUAAGCACUCCGCCUGGGGAGUACGACCGCAAGGUUGAAACUCAAAGGAAUUGACGGGGACCCGCACAAGCGGUGGAGCAUGUGGUUUAAUUCGAAGCAACGCGAAGAACCUUACCAAAUCUUGACAUCCUUUGACAACUCUAGAGAUAGAGCCUUCCCCUUCGGGGGACAAAGUGACACCUCCUGCAUGGUUGUCGUCAGCUCGUGUCGUGAGAUGUUGGGUUAAGUCCCGCAACGAGCGCAACCCUUAAGCUUAGUUGCCAUCAUUAAGUUGGGCACUCUAAGUUGACUGCCGGUGACAAACCGGAGGAAGGUGGGGAUGACGUCAAAUCAUCAUGCCCCUUAUGAUUUGGGCUACACACGUCGUACAAUGGACAAUACAAAGGGCAGCGUUACCGCGAGGUCAAGCAAAUCCCAUAAAGUUGUUCUCAGUUCGGAUUGUAGUCUCGAACUCGACUACAUGAAGCUGGAAUCGCUAG